AAAAUUCCCAGAUAUUUGGAAAUUAAAUCUUCCAUGAGUUAAAAAGAAACAAAAAUGGAAAUAACAUAUUUUGGCCUGAAUAAUAAGAAAGUAUUACAUAUAGAAACAUGCCUGCUGGAACUAUAGUAGUACUCAGAGAGCAGUUUACAGCCUUAAAUAUUAGAAAAUAAGAAAGGUUAAAACAAAUAAAAUAAGCAUCCAUCUCAUGUGUUAGAAAAGGAAUGGCAAAAGAAACCCAAAUAUGGUAGAAGACAGGAUGCGCCAAAGAUCAGAAAUUAUUCAGGUAGAACAGGAACAGGAACAUACAAAGGUGAAGAUCAACAAAACCAAGAAUUUGUUCUUUGAAAAAACUAAUAUAAUUAACAAAUAUUUGGCAUGUAUAAAAUAUAUCAGUCGGGGCCAGUCAGGGGACAGAAACUAUACCACUAAUUUGAAAAUUUAAUAUAAAAGAUUAACUAGCAGCCGGGAAUAAACUAUUAAGAGAGGUAAAGAGAACUCUAACCAGUACAGAAAGAAGAGGUAUAGGGACAGGCUGGAGCUGAGAGAAAGUACCCGAGGAACGAAUAACCUUGGAAGAAGGCUCCCAACAAGGAUGAGGUUCAGACCUCAUGAAGAGGGUGUGGCUAUGGCCCACAGCAUGUCACAGAUAUUUGCUGAAGUGCUACAGGCCAGGGCAGGCAAACAGGAAACCACCCACUGGGGUGCCAGUGAAACUCACUAGGAAGUUGCCUGCUGGGGUGCUGUGAAACUCCCUGAAUAGCCAGCCGCUGAAACUCACUGUCAAAUGAGUAUCCUCAGGUGUCUCCAACGCUGCUGGUGUCUGAAGGCCACAGGAUCAAGGAGAAAACACGCUGGGACUAGGAAGAGAAGCCCCUUCUUCCUGUAGUGCCUCUCCUGUGUGCUCGACUAAAAAAGCUUAACAUUGUGCUGGCUGGCAAAGGAGAAAUAUAUGCAAGUUCUAGCUCCAGUAUCACAAAGCUAGGGCAACGAAGGGUAAGAGAGACAAUAAGUCAAUAAUUGGCACACAUGGAAUAUUAUAUGACAAUAAAAGUAAACAAAUUGCAGCUGGCAGCAAUGAUGUUACCUUAAAGAAGCAAAUCACAAAGAAUGUACGUACUGAUUCUGUUUUAUAUAAAGUUGAAAAACAAUGGUGAUAAAAAUAUAACAUAUAGCAAGAACGUAAUCGCCAUAAAGUCACAGUCAUAUCUCAAGGAGGGAAGGAAACCAUUGUGAUCAGUAAGAGACACACACUGAUUUCAGGUGGCAGCUGGUUGUGCCAACGAUAUUCUCUCUCUUGAUCUGGAUGGUGGUACAAGAGAGCUCAGGGGAUUCACCAAGGUGGUGACACGAG
rnacentral:lncRNA from 1 species